GACAGAGGUGGCAAGCGUUAUCCGGAAUUAUUGGGCUUAAAGGGCGUGUAGGCGGCAUUGCAAGUCUGGGGUGGAAUCCGGUGGCUUAACCACCGAACUGCCCUGGAAACUGCAUUGCUUGAGUCAGUGAGGGGAGGGCGGAAUUCCCGGUGUAGCAGUGAAAUGCGUAGAUAUCGGGAGGAAGGCCGGUGGCGAAGGCGGCCCUCUGGUGCUUGACUGACGCUGAGGCGCUAAAGCGUGGGGAGCAAACAGGAUUAGAAACCCGUGUAGU
rnacentral:rRNA from 1 species